UUCGGGAACCGUGAGACAGGUGCUGCAUGGCUGUCGUCAGCUCGUGUUGUGAAAUGUUGGGUUAAGUCCCGCAACGAGCGCAACCCUUAUCCUUUGUUGCCAGCGGUCCGGCCGGGAACUCAAAGGAGACUGCCAGUGAUAAACUGGAGGAAGGUGGGGAUGACGUCAAGUCAUCAUGGCCCUUACGACCAGGGCUACACACGUGCUACAAUGGCGCAUACAAAGAGAAGCGACCUCGCGAGAGCAAGCGGACCUCAUAAAGUGCGUCGUAGUCCGGAUUGGAGUCUGCAACUCGACUCCAUGAAGUCGGAAUCGCUAGUAAUCGUGGAUCAGAAUGCCACGGUGAAUACGUUCCCGGGCCUUGUACACACCGCCCGUCACACCAUGGGAGUGGGUUGCAAAAGAAGUAGGUAGCUUAACCUUCGGGAGGGCGCUUACCACUUUGUGAUUCAUGACUGGGGUGAAGUCGUAACAAGGUAACCGUAGGGGAACCUGCGGUUGGAUCACCUCCUUACCUUAAAGAA
rnacentral:rRNA from 1 species